GGUGGUAUAGCUUAUGGUAGAGCACUUGUUUAACAUCCAUGAGACCUUAAGUUUGAUCCUCAAUACCACAA
rnacentral:tRNA from 1 species